rnacentral:snoRNA from 1 species
AAACUAUGAUGUGGGCACUUUCUCAAUAAGUCCUUGAAUCUUUCCCAAGCUUCGUACAAAUUCUCAUGAUCAUGGUGGACAAAGGUCAUUAUAUCAUUGCGCAGUUU